rnacentral:rRNA from 1 species
AGCAGUCGCCACGGGAAUACGGAGGGGGCUAGCGUUGUUCGGAAUUACUGGGCGUAAAGCGCACGUAGGCGGCUUGGUAAGUUAGAGGUGAAAGCCUGGAGCUCAACUCCAGAAUUGCCUUUAAGACUGCCGAGCUAGCAGGUGAGAGAGGUAAGUGGAAUUCCGAGUGUAGAGGUGAAAUUCGUAGAUAUUCGGAAGAACACCAGUGGCGAAGGCGGCUUACUGGCUCAUACUGGACGCUGAGGUGCGAAAGCGUGGGGAGCAAACAGGAUUAGAUACCCCGGUAGUCCCUGUCUCUUAUAC